AAUUCAGUGGCCUAGUUGAUAGAGCAUCCGCCUUGGAUGCAGGAGGUUGUGGGUUCGAUCCCCGGUUGAGUCA